AGUUGCCAGCGAGUCAAGUCGGGCACUCUAAGGUGACUGCCGGCUAAAAGUCGGAGAAGUGGGGAUGACGUCAAAUCAUCAUGCCCCUUAUGACCUGGGCUACACACGUGCUACAAUGGGCGGUACAAAGGGUCGCGAACCCGCGAGGGGGAGCCAAUCCCAAAAAGCCGCUCUCAGUUCGGAUUGCAGGCUGCAACUCGCCUGCAUGAAGCCGGAAUCGCUAGUAAUCGCGGAUCAGCAUGCCGCGGUGAAUACGUUCCCGGGCCUU
rnacentral:rRNA from 1 species